rnacentral:rRNA from 1 species
CCUACGGGUGGCUGCAGUGGGGAAUAUUGGACAAUGGGGGGAACCCUGAUCCAGCCAUGCCGCGUGUGUGAAGAAGGCCCUCGGGUUGUAAAGCACUUUCAGUGAGGAAGAACGCCUGGUGGUUAAUACCCAUCAGGAAAGACAUCACUCACAGAAGAAGCACCGGCUAACUCCGUGCCAGCAGCCGCGGUAAUACGGAGGGUGCGAGCGUUAAUCGGAAUUACUGGGCGUAAAGCGCGCGUAGGUGGCUUGAUAAGCCGGUUGUGAAAGCCCCGGGCUCAACCUGGGAACGGCAUCCGGAACUGUCAAGCUAGAGUGCAGGAGAGGAAGGUAGAAUUCCCGGUGUAGCGGUGAAAUGCGUAGAGAUCGGGAGGAAUACCAGUGGCGAAGGCGGCCUUCUGGACUGACACUGACACUGGGGUGUGAAAGCGUGGGUAGCAAACAGGAUUAGAUACCCUGGUAGUC